rnacentral:lncRNA from 1 species
UUUUCUAAAUAAAGGUUACAGAUCUGUAAGCCAUGCAUCAUUUUGCCAAGCAUGUUGGCCUGGAAAUAUCUUCAAAAGUCAAGAUCAUGAACACGGAACACCACACAUCGUUGUCAUAUUCUCAUUAUAAAAACAUGCCAUUUUUUGAAUAAAAAAAAUGAUGAAAGUGAAAAGUAUUAGUGCUUUCUGCACAAGCCUGUAAUGCACAUAUGGAUAAGGUCUACACCUUUUGUUUGACAAAAGUCAAAGAAACCUUUUGUGUCAUAGCCAUGUUACCUUUUUCUUGGAAAGGUGUUUGCUUUUGCAAAGCUGUACAAUACUGAC